rnacentral:rRNA from 1 species
CAAAUUUGAAAUCUGGCUCCUCGGGGGUCCGAGUUGUAAUUUGUAGAGGAUGCUUCGGGUGCGGCACCGGUCUAAGUCCCUUGGAACAGGGCGUCAUAGAGGGUGAGGAUCCCGUAUGUGACCGGCGACCUAGCCCAUGUGAAGCUCCUUCGACGAGUCGAGUUGUUUGGGAAUGCAGCUCAAAAUGGGUGGUAAAUUUCAUCUAAAGCUAAAUACCGGCCAGAGACCGAUAGCGCACAAGUAGAGUGAUCGAAAGAUGAAAAGCACUUUGGAAAGAGAGUCAAAAAGUACGUGAAAUUGUUGAAAGGGAAGCGCUUGUAACCAGACCUGCCGUCGGGGGCUCCGCGGGCAUUCUUGCCCGUUUACUCCCCCGCGAUCAGGCCAGCAUCGGUUUUGGCGGCCGGAUAAAGACUCGAGGAAUGUAGCUUCGCUUCGGGGAAGUGUUAUAGCCUCUUGUGCAAUACGGCCAGCCGGGAACGAGGACCGCGCUUCGGCUAGGAUGCUGGCGUAAUGGUUGCAAGCGACCCGUCUUGAAACACGGACCAAGGAGUCUAACAUCUAUGCGAGUGUUUGGGUGUCAAACCCAUGCGCGGAAUGAAAGUGAACGGAGGUGGGAACCCUUAAGGGCGCACCAUCGACCGAUCCGGAAGUUUACGGAUGGAUUUGAGUAUGAGCAUAGCUGUUGGGACCCGAAAGAUGGUGAACUAUGCCUGAAUAGGGUGAAGCCAGAGGAAACUCUGGUGGAGGCUCGCAGCGGUUCUGACGUGCAAAUCGAUCGUCAAAUUUGGGUAUAGGGGCGAAAGACUAAUCGAACCAUCUAGUAGCUGGUUCCUGCCGAAGUUUCGUAAGUUCUCCCCAGGACACCCCCCCUAUGAACUCUUGCUAACAACCUCAACAGCCUCAGGAUAGCAGUAACGUUUUCAGUUUUAUGAGGUAAAGCGAAUGAUUAGAGGUCUGGGGGAUGAAACAUCCUUCACCUAUUCUCAAACUUUCAAUAUGUAAGAAGUCCUUGUUACUUAGUUGAACGUGGACAUUUGAAUGCACCGUUACUAGUGGGCCAUUUUUGGUAAGCAGAACUGGCGAUGCGGGAUGAACCGAACGUGGGGUUAAGGUGCCGGAAUGUACGCUCAUCAGACACCAAGGGGACGACUUGUGGUGUCUUGCCGGGGGAUAGACCCCCGGCAUCAGUCUGCGAAAGGCGAGGUCUUUGACCUGUAGGGGUCGGCGGUCGCUCCGGCGAUGGCCUACCCUCUGCUGCCCCAUGACCGGGGCAGCUCACAGAUCAAGCAAAGGCCGGCGGCAGUAGUACGCCGUUGGAGAUAUGAUCGGCCCCCGAAGG